GGGGAAUAUUGCGCAAUGGGCGAAAGCCUGACGCAGCGACGCCGCGUGAGGGAUGAAGGUUCUCGGAUCGUAAACCUCUGUCAGGGGGGAAGAAACCCCCUCGUGUGAAUAAUGCGAGGGCUUGACGGUACCCCCAAAGGAAGCACCGGCUAACUCCGUGCCAGCAGCCGCGGUAAUACGGAGGGUGCAAGCGUUAAUCGGAAUCACUGGGCGUAAAGCGCACGUAGGCGGCUUGGUAAGUCAGGGGUGAAAUCCCACAGCCCAACUGUGGAACUGCCUUUGAUACUGCCAGGCUUGAGUACCGGAGAGGGUGGCGGAAUUCCAGGUGUAGGAGUGAAAUCCGUAGAUAUCUGGAGGAACACCGGUGGCGAAGGCGGCCACCUGGACGGUAACUGACGCUGAGGUGCGAAAGCGUGGGUAGCAAACA
rnacentral:rRNA from 1 species